CGGAAACAUGUAAAACCAAACAAACACGAUGAAAAUACACCGUGGGUGAGUGGGGAAGACGAGGUGGACACGGUUGUGUCCCAGUUUUCAGUAUAUCUUUCCUCUGCGCGUGAAUCAGAACUGUUAUAUAUAUAUAUAUUAAUAAAAAAAUAAAGGGCCAAGCACUACUUUUUACUAUCAUAUCAAAAUGCACUUUCGUUGAUUUCCGCGCCCGGCUAGCUCAGUCGGUAGAGCAUGAGACUCUUAAUCUCAGGGUCGUGGGUUCGAGCCCCACGUUGGGCGGUGCACGUUUUUUGUCCUUAAACUCCCGAUGGCACUCCCCAAGGGAUUAAAGCAGUUUUAUAUUUCGACCUAACGAACACAGCAACAUCACUCAAGUGCAUUGGGGAUAUCUGCCAGCUCCUCUACAUACAAACAGGGAAAAUCCGUUUUUUUUUUUUUUGGAGUGACUGGAGCAGCUCGGCAGUGAAGACGAGUCCUCUCCAAUAAUAAUUUUUGGCUCUGUGUAUAUCAACACUCAGUAAAGCCAGUUUUUCUUGCCGAUGUGAUCCAAGUUAAUCAUUAAGCUGCCAGGCUAAACAGCAGAGCUUUGUUAGCCUCAAUGACCUGUGGUGGGGUUUUUUUUCUUCUAUUAGCUAUGAGGAAAUAUAUAAAUUGUUAAAAAACAAAACAAAUAAACAAACUGCUUUUUGGCAACACUCUUAUUGUACUGUAGUUUUUGUUUUACUUAGGGUAGUUAAGGCAUCACUGGCUGUACUCUACAUCAGUUUGGUUAGGUUUAGCUAGAAAGCUAAUUUGUCUAUAGAAAAGGAGCGUACAGUUUGUCAUGUUGGGUUCAGGUGAUGCUCCAAGCACAAGAUGCAGGAUUCUGCCGGUUGUCUGGAGAGACAGCUAAGCUGCUAGUAACCGCUUUUUAAAAUAAACUUUAAAUAAAAUGUAUUUGUUUGAUGUUUGGUCACUUGGACGUAACACUGAUGUAUUAUAAAGAGUGUUUCAUAAAAUUAAUGUGCAUCUUCUAAACAGACAAAACAACAAAGUUUUACCUUCUCUUAGAAAAUACUGCUUUGAAAAACUGCAUAAACUUUCAAUGACCUGCACGAUCAGUGCUCAUUUAAAGUGAGGGGGAAUGAAAAUGUCAACGACAGAACUCAGUGAGCUGAACAAAUGCCAGUACAAAGCACGUCUGAUGAUCAGAGUCUGAUGAAAACAUUUGAUUUAAACGGAGCCUUGACAGUUCAUUUUAAAUGAGGGCCGUGUUCAGCAAUUGGCUCAAAUUGAAGGCAGAUUGACGGUCGUUCUUGUAACAGGAAGAAAAAAUAAAAAUCAAUGUUUGAAGAUGGAAAGGAUAGCAUAAAGCAUCACAGAUAAAUAGAGGUGACUAUAUAGUUGUCUCCAGACAAAUAUUCAUUAGGCCCCGCAAUAUAUCAAGUCAGAAAAUGAAUUUCCAACCUCAACACAGUUUAACGUGAUUACUUGAAGCGACAGGUCCGCAGCUCAGACAGAAGAGGCAAUAAACCUUAACUGGUAUUACAGAGGACACAAGCUAAUUCUCAUAAUGUGAUGCAAAGCUUCCCCUCCAGUGUGUCAAGCUUCAUAAAACUAAUUUAGGGCACACAAUUAAGAGUUCUUUGUCUCAAUUAGGAGGAAGGUCAGGAUUGUCUAAAAGAGGAAAAUUAAACAUGCGGCUCAGGUUUUAAUGAGGAGCCGUGCUACAGUGGGAAGAAAAUGUCCGUUAAGAUUUACUGUGAUCAAAUUGAGGCAGAAAAAAAAAACAAUCUUAUGGUCAGACGUGAAGAUCAGAGGGCAGUUUUGACACGUGCUGUUGUCAAUUAACCUUGACAUCUAGGAAACACAAAAAAAA